CAAGUCGAACGGCAGCACGGGAGCAAUCCUGGUGGCGAGUGGCGAACGGGUGAGUAAUAUAUCGGAACGUGCCCAGUCGUGGGGGAUAACGCAGCGAAAGCUGUGCUAAUACCGCAUACGAUCUCUGGAUGAAAGCGGGGGACUCAGCAAUGGGCCUCGCGCGAUUGGAGCGGCCGAUAUCAGAUUAGCUAGUUGGUGGGGUAAAAGCCCACCAAGGCGACGAUCUGUAGCUGGUCUGAGAGGACGACCAGCCACACUGGAACUGAGACACGGUCCAGACUCCUACGGGAGGCAGCAGUGGGGAAUUUUGGACAAUGGGCGAAAGCCUGAUCCAGCAAUGCCGCGUGCAGGAUGAAGGCCUUCGGGUUGUAAACUGCUUUUGUACGGAACGAAACGGUUGCCUCUAAUAAAGGUGGCUAAUGACGGUACCGUAAGAAUAAGCACCGGCUAACUACGUGCCAGCAGCCGCGGUAAUACGUAGGGUGCGAGCGUUAAUCGGAAUUACUGGGCGUAAAGCGUGCGCAGGCGGUUAUAUAAGACAGAUGUGAAAUCCCCGGGCUCAACCUGGGACCUGCAUUCGUGACUGUAUAGCUAGAGUACGGUAGAGGGGGAUGGAAUUCCGCGUGUAGCAGUGAAAUGCGUAGAUGUGCGGAGGAACACCGAUGGCGAAGGCAAUCCCCUGGACCUGUACUGACGCUCAUGCACGAAAGCGUGGGGAGCAAACAGGAUUAGAUACCCUGGUAGUCCACGCCCUAAACGAUGUCAACUGGGUUGUUGGGUCUUCACUGACUCAGUAACGAAGCUAACGCGUGAAGUUGACCGCCUGGGGAGUACGGGCCGCAAGGGUUGAAACUCAAAGGAAUUGACGG
rnacentral:rRNA from 1 species